rnacentral:lncRNA from 1 species
AAGAAUCUGCCUGCAGUGCAGGAUGCCCAGAUUUCAUCCCUGGAUCGGGGAGAUCCCUGGAGAAGGAAAUGGCAACCCACUCCAGUAUUCUUUUUUGAAGAAUCCCGUGGAUAGAGGAGCCUGGUGGGCUACAGUCCAUGGGAUCACAAAGAGUUGGACAUAACUGAGCGACUAACACAAAACUUGAGAUUGAAGACCAGCAGAGCCAAGUGGAAAGUGUUUGGAACAUUCUCUGUAGGGAAAGCAGGAGGUGUUGAGGUCUCCCGGAUACUCUUGGUUGACUAGCACUUGUUAUUUGUCAGAGAUGGCCCUAACACAGUGGAUACAAGUGAUGAAUAAUCAUAGAAUCGUAGAAUCAUAGAAUCGUCAAGAACAGGAUGGUUCCAGAAGAAACCGUCAUGGGAUCAACUACAUGACAAAUGUGUGGAGGUUUUAGAAAUGGCUCAACGAGAAGAGCCAGCUAUGCUCUCUUUUGCUCUCAAUAAUUUAUAUGGUCAAUUUUUUAGGAUUUGGGUGAGGAUUAUUAUGUAACUUGUCAAUUCCUUAGGAUGGUGAUUUUUUUUGCUUUAUCUUCCUCCCUUCCUAUCUACUCAUGACCACUCCACUGCCCUGCAGACCCCUCCACAGCUUGGGCUGGGCUGUCAAGAUCUCCUCUUGCCCCACCUCCCUGUUCUGGGCACCAGGAGCCCAGUUCACCUCCCCUGAGUGAGGCGGUAGCACCCAGGGAAAUAUGAGGUGAUCUCUUCAGCGUCCUGGACUUUCCGUUCCUGUAUUUCUACAGAUUCCACGGCAGCUGCUGUGCCAGGUGAUCACGUCUGGCUUAUCGAUGUUGCUGUUUGAUACAAUUCUGACCAGGGAAACCAUGGGAUGCCUCCUGCUCGGCGGAUUUGGAGAGGCCUUGCUGGUUUUCUCAGAGCGGAAGGGCUCCUAAACCCGGGAAAAGUGGACUCCCAGGCUGUAGUGGAGAACACCGCGUUCUCCAGGUGAUAGAAGAAAGCAAGGAUGGAGAGGCGUCACUGCUCGCUGCGGCAAGGAGAACUCUCUUUCUGGGGUCUCUAGGAUGCUUCAGGGAGUGGACUGUGUCUAGAGGCUCCCCAGGUCCAGCUGACUGUGCCCCGCGCCCAGGCAUGCAGAGAGAGAUGCAGGGUUUCACCUGCAUGGGGAUGGCUCCGCCUUCCUGGAUUGCUGCGCGUGCUCCUUAUUAAACACCCUUCAGCAAGCAAGCUUUCACUGCCGGGUGGUGGAGGUAUUGUAUCGUGUUUUUGGUUUUGUUUUGUGAUUUCACAACCUGGAAGUCUUCUCUGAGGAUGUCCUUUCCUUGCUGUCAGGUUGGCUUGCCUCGAACCCACACUCACUCACUUAGGGGCACACACAGACUUCCAUGAGGGGGCUUCCUCUGGGGGCCGAGUUGGGGGGCAAACGGGAGUCCUGGGCCAAGUAAGACGCCAGCAAGGACACUGUUUCUCUCCAGCACUGAAGACUUUCUGUGGUUGUGUGUUGUGUUGAACACCCUUUUGGGCCCACCAUCAGGUUAAAUCAAUUACCCAAGGGUAAUGAUUACCACUGAUGAAUAAGCACUGACGGAUGAAAUAAACGUAAGUAUGCAAACA